CAAAAGGCCCUUUUCAGGGCCACAAAUCGUUUUUUCAAAGAAUAUU
rfam:Drosophila mojavensis strain TSC#15081-1352.22 Ctg01_10998, whole genome shotgun sequence.